rnacentral:lncRNA from 1 species
UUGGAAUCUGUUGAAAUAGCCAACUGGUUGUAACCUUCGUCAAUGAUGUUUGAGAUUGAAUCUGUGCCCUUUAUUAUUUAAAAGUGGCUAUGCACGUGCCUCACUUAUUGAGUUGUUGUUGUCCACGUGGCUUUAUUAAUUCCGACCAUCACCUAACAUAUAUCGCUAACCUUAAUUCCUCUUUCUAAUUUCAACCUUCACUUUCUAAAUCGAGCCCCCAAUUUCUCUCUUCAGCUUACACAUUACACUGCCCUUCCCUUCCAAAUCGACCUUGUCCUCAAGGUCGUAAUUGAACGACAAAGUCAGGAAAUUGACUUUGUAUGUAGCCCUAGUCCUCCCAUGUGGUUUCAUCUCGCCCCAAAUUUGUCCACUGAACCAAGACCUUCAUGGCGGUUGCGUUGUUGACUUUGACAAUCUUUCAUUGCAAGAUGGCUAAGGGCUGAACUAACACUCGACCACCUUCAUCACAGAGUGGAGGCUAUUGUUGUGGAAUCACUGCUGGACCCACUCUUUUUUAAGCUAUGGUAUAUGGAAGACAGGAUGGACUUGCGAACCUAGAGGAAGCUCUAAGCGGUAAGCGACUGAACCUAUCUUUUGUAGGACUUUGUAAGGUCCAUAAAAAUUGGAACUAAGCUUUAAUUUUCUUCGAAUAGCUACUGAGGCUUGUCGGUAUAGUUGUAACUUCAAAUGGACCAAAUCGCCUUCUUGAAGGUGUCUAUCUAUUCUAUUUUUGUCUGCAUAGAAUUUCAUACGAGCUUGAUUCUGUUGCAGUUUUUCUUUCAAGAUUUGCAACAUGUUCUGCCUCUAAGCUAUACACUGGCCCACUAGCGUAUACGUGAGGUGGUGUAGGGAGCCUAGUGGUACUUGUGAAGGAGGAUAUCCAUAUAGAGCCUCAAAUGGAGUGGACUUGAGAAAUGUGUGGUGGUUGGUAUUAUACCACCAUUCUGCUAGAGGCAACCACUUCAUCCACUGAUUGAGAUCUGAGAAAACCGUAGCCUUGAGAAAGGUUUCCAAACAUCGAUUAAGUCUUUCAAAUUUCCCAUCAGACUAGGGAUGGUAUGCACUAGUCAUAUUCAAUUUAGUACCCAAGGAUUUGAAUAAUUGUUGCCAAAAUUGACUUGUGAAUAUCGAGUAUCUGUCAGUUACUAUGGAUUUAGGCAACCCAUGUAACUUAUAAAUCUCUUUAAGGAAUAUCUCAGCUAUGUCCUCAGCUGAAUAUGGGUGUUUAAGGGUAAUGAAAUGCCCAUACUUAGUCAGCAUGUCAACUACUACCAGGACUGCAUUCUUAGACCUAGAAAUGGGGAGACCUUCCACAAAUUCCAUAGCAAUGUCCAGCCAUGGUAAGUUUGGUAUGGGCAAUUGUUGUAGUAGACCUGGCGUGUGGAUAUUUUCUAUUUUCACUCUUUGACAAACAUUACACUCAACCACCCACUUAUAAAUGUCAUUCUUCUUAUGAGGCCAAAAAAAUACCAUACUAACUUUUUUGUAAGACCCUUGUUGCCUAGAAUGGCCCCCAAGGGUAAUUGAUGCAGCAACUCAAAUAUUCUGUUCCUCAGAUUGGUUGCUCUCCCCACAAAAAUCUUGUGUUCAAAUCUGAUGAUGCUCUUUUGUAAAGUAUAACCCAGCCUGUUGCCAGGAAUGGUUAUCAACUCAGUAAUGAGUUGAAUGGUUGUAGGUUCAUGCUCAUAGUUGUGUAUUAUAUGUUGAAUCCAUGUAGGCUCUACACUGGUGAUGGUAUUAAGGGAUGAGUCAUCCUCUAGUCUUCUAGAAAGAGCAUCAGUCACUCUAUUCCCAGUGCCCUUCUUAUAUUGGACUUCAUAGUCUAGCCCCAGUAGCUUAGUGAGUCCCUUUUGCUGAAGAGCGGUAGUUACUCUUUGUUCCAGCAAGUAUUUGAGGAUGUGAUGGUCAGUUCUGAUAAUGAAAUGGCCCCUUGUAGAUAAUGUCUCCACCUAUCUAUAGCUAAUAGUAUAACCAUAUACUCCUUUUCAUAUGUAGAAAGUCCUAGAUGUUUAGGGGCCAAGGCGUUGCUAAAGAAGGCAAUUGGUCUGCCUUCUUGAAUUAGUACAACUCCCAUCCCUUUAUAUCAUGCAUCAGUCUCCACUAUGAAAAGUUUUAGUGAAGUCUGCUAGGGCUAGAAUAGAGGCAGUAAACAUAGACUACUUGAGUUAUUGAAAAGCCACUUCAGUUUCUGCAUUCCAUUUAAAAGAAUUCUUCUUGAGCAGGUUGGUUAGUGGCCUACUGAUGAUGCCAAAGGAUUUUAUAAAUCUAAUAUAAUAGCUAGUGAGACCUAGAAAUCCUGUCAAGGCUUUCAUAGUUUUGGGAACAGGCCAAUUAACCAUUGCUUCUAUUUUUGUAGGGUAUGUGGACACCCCCUUCCUAGUAAUAAUAUGUCUCAAGUACUCCACCUUAGCUUGACCAAAAGAAUACUUUGAAAGUUUAACAUACAAUUGUUCCUUUCUUACAAUCUGCAGCACCUUGUUAAGAUGCUCCUUGUGAUCUUAAACUGUGGCACUAUAGACUAGGAUGUCAUCAAAGAAUGCCAAGAAAAAUUGUCUCAAAUAUGCCCUGAAAACAUGGUUCAUUAGCCCCUGAAAUGUAGCUUGGGCAUUAGUCAACUCAAAAGGCAUGAUUUUAAACUCAUAAUUCCCCAAAUGAGUUCUAAAUGCAGUCUUAUACAUAUUUACCUUCCCCAUUCUGAUUUGGUGGUAGCCAGCUCUUAGUUCAAUCUUUGAGAAUAUGUAGGAACCACUUAACUCAUCCAUUAAAUCAUCCUACUAAUGGCAUGAGAAACUUGUCUUUGAUGGUCAUUUUAUUGAGUUCUCUCUAAUCUAUGCAAACCUCCAACUACCAUUUUUUUUCUUUACUAAUAGUACUGGAGAAGAAAAAAAAAGAGUGAAUUGGUUGUAUAAUGCCAUUAUGAAGCAUCUCAUUCACUUGUUUUUCAAUCUUCUUUUUCUAAAAAUAACUGUACAUAUAUGGUCUAAUGUUGACUGAUGCUGCAUCUGAUUUCAGGGGUAUAAAAUGAUCUUGUUGCUUGCUGGAAAGCGGUGUUUUGGGCUCCUCAAAGACAUCUAGAUAUUGCUUAAUGAUGUUGUUUAUGGUUACUGGUACAACCUCCUCCUGGUCAACUUCUGCAGCUGACAAGGUAAACAUGUGAGCCCAUAUUGCUUGUCCUUUCUUCAGUAGUUGUUUAACACCAGUAGUACACAUGUUUUUCAAUUCUCCUUGGUUGUAUAUGCCUUUAAGUUCUACUCUUUUUCCCUUAUGGGAAAUAUCCACCUUGUACUCUAUGAAAUCUAAUAGAACUGGAUUAUGCAUCUUCAUCCAAUCCCCCCUAAUAUCAUAUCAUUGCCCCUAGUUUUAUGAGUCUCACUGAAUCUUCAAAUUCCACCCCUUGGAUUUUUCACUUGAAUUUGGGACAAAAGUGUAGACUCAUGAGGUAGUUCUCAUUGGCCACAGUGACCCUCAUGGGUCUGUUGUUUGUGAUGAUGCAUUCCAUCAUCUUAGUUGUCUCAAGCUCCAAGAAACUGUGGGUACUCUCUGAAUCAAGUAGGAUAGUUAUCUGAUUCUUCUUAGAUUCUCCUUUAAGUUUGAUUGUGUUGGGCACCUCAGUACCAGAAAGGGAAUUUAAGAUGAUGGCUUCAUCCAUCACUUCACCUUCAUGUAGCUCCUCUAAUGGUUCUUUUUGGCCUAUUAUCUCCUCCUAUUGAAUUUCUUCUUCAUGUUCUUCCGCAGUAAUGGCAUUGUUCUGUUUCUCUUUGCACUGAUGUCCCGGAAAGUAUUUAUCACCACACUUAUAAUGCAGUCUUUGAUUCCUCAUGUACUUAUUUACUCUAGUGUUCUGGUUGCCAAAAUUGUUGGAACCUUCUCCCUUGUGAUUUGUACUAGAACGCUGAUUACUAGGACUUGCAGACUGGUUGGUGUAUGAGCUCUUGCCCCAAGUGGCCUUUCCCUUUUUAUCUCAUGCUUCUAUUACCUUCUCCUGAUAUUUAGCUUUUUCCACAUCUUGACUUAAGGUAAAGGGAUCUAACAUCUUAACUGUGUAUCUAAUAUCCUCUUUUAGGCCCUCCAUAAAGAAUUCCAAAAACAUUCCUCAAGAAUAGUAGGGUUUCUAAUUAAAACUCAUGCCUUAAGAUCCUCAAAUUGUUUUAGAUACUCAUUAACAGUUCCCUUUUGUUCAAUUUUUUUGAAUUAUCCUAUCAAUUUGGAUUUACUAUUUCUUGCAUUUUGGAAUCUUUUACAUAGUUCCUCACUAAAAUCUUGCCAUCUAACAGUUCCUCUACUAAGGUGAUAAGAGAAAUACCAAGCUUCAGCCUUACCACAUAGAUGUAUAACUGCUUCCUCAAGCUUCUGAUCUAGGUCAUUAAUGUGGUUGUAAUGGAAGUUUCUCACAUAUUUCCUCAACCAAGAACAGUGGUCUGUUCCUUCUGCCCCAUCAAAAUAAGGAAAUUCCACCCUAGAAUGGUUGCAAUGUGGUCUCUCCAAUGUCACAACAGUUGUAACAUAAUUUUCCCCAACUCUGCCACCUGAGGCUUCAAGGUGAUGAUUCUCUAGUAGAGCACUUCCUAAGAUACCCGGCUGGCUGGGGAGUAACUUCUCCAUCAAGAAAUCUAGCUUCUUAGCUAUAUCAUAAAUUUUUGUAUCAGUAGUUUCCGAUUUUUUGCUAGUUUCAGCUAUGUGAUGUUGUAACUAAGUCUCCAGCUUCUUCACAUUGUCCUCCAUUAUUUUGGACCUUAUUUCAGUUAAUGUCAUGUCUGUUGUUGGGCCAGAAAAGACUCUGAUACUAGUUGUAAUAGUCUAGGGGUGGCAAAUGGGCAGGUCGGGUCAGAUAUGAGUGGGUCAAAAUGGGUAAUUUAAAAAAUGGAUAUCCGACCCGACCCGUAUUUGAGACGGAUAAAAAUGAAUUUAUCCGACAGAUAAUAUGGAUAUCCAUAUUAUCCAUGACUUCUUAAAUAUGAUCACUUAUGAGAUAAUUCCUACUCUUCC